CUCUAGAGUGGCAGACGAGGUAGUAACACGUAGGUACGUCCCCCGAAGUCGGGCAUAGCCAUCCGAAAGGAUGGGUAAUUCCCGAUAGUCCCGCAAGGGUAAAGGCAGGUAGCAAUAUUUGCCGCUUCGGGAGCGGCCUGCGUAGUAUCAGCUAGUUGGUAGGGUAACGGCCUACCAAGGCUACGACGCUUAGGGGGGCUGAGAGGCCGAUCCCCACCGAUGGAACUGCGACAC
rnacentral:rRNA from 1 species